GAAGGCAAGAACCAGUUACUGUUGCAUCAUCCACCUUAUCGCGACACUUUAUAUUGUAAACAUACCAUAGACUUGGCUUACUUCCCUGUGGCAAAAUAUCAUUAAAAAAAUAACCAAACAAAUUACGUUGUGAAACCAUAACUAAAACGUCUUUCAGCAAAAGCUUUGCGAGAGCAGAAAUACAACGGGAAACGCAAGAAAGCCGCACUAGUUGGCAGUUGUACUUAGACGGAAGGGUCAUUCGUAACACCUUCUACACAAGCUGUAUUCAAGUACGUGUGUCACCUCUGACAUUAUGACAUCCAAAUGUCUAAGCUGGAUAUUCCAGUCACCAGGGGAAAAAGUCUCCCGCGUAGAAAGCAAACCACCUCAGACUUCCUUUUCAAAACUGCUAGGUGACGAUGUCGAUGAUACUCGACACACCUUCCCACAAAAAUGAAAGUCUGAAAAGUGCGAUCGUGGAUACCAACUUUGAGUCACUUGCAUUCCUUCAAAAUGAGUAAUUUAAGCCUCACGACUUUCUUUCAAACAUUGCAAACCUUUUCUAACUCACUUUGCUACAGUUCGCCCUGUUCCUCGAUAAGGCGAAUUUAAUUUUAUCCCAGAAGUAUUUAUCAUUAUUUUUAUUUAGCUCUGGAUGUGAGUUUGUGUAAGGAAGCAAGGCCUAGAGGUAAAGUCCUCAAAUCGUUUUUAUCAGUGAACAGUCAGAGCUUUUCUGCUAGCUUCGGGGAAAAUUAUCAAAAAGGAACUUGAGAGUUCAGUCUAGCUUGGGUGGAAGGAUGACGGAAAAGAGAGUAAAGAAGGGGGGGGGGGGAUACGGUAUGUGUUGAAAAGGAUCCUUCAGCCAUCGACGAGGUAAUUUAGUUUGCGUGUCGACUAGUCCAGUAAUUUGACCCGAAGCAAUAUCCACCAAUCUCACGAGUCUCGUCAAACUUUGCGUAAGAAUCAUUGACUGGUGCCGCAGGAUCCUUUCCAGCAGUCGAGGUAGAGGCGGACAAAAAUGCUUUGGGAAUGGAAAAAUUAACUAGAAUAUGAUACAAAACAGCGUCAAAUUAAAUAUUGAUUUUAUUUUCCAUCCA